UGGGGAAUAUUGCACAAUGGGCGGAAGCCUGAUGCAGCGACGCCGCGUGGGGGAUGAAGGCCUUCGGGUUGUAAACCCCUUUCGACAGGGACGAAGCUUUUGUGACGGUACCUGUAUAAGAAGCACCGGCUAACUACGUGCCAGCAGCCGCGGUAAUACGUAGGGUGCGAGCGUUGUCCGGAAUUACUGGGCGUAAAGAGCUCGUAGGUGGUUUGUCGCGUCGCCUGUGAAAUUCCGGGGCUUAACUCCGGGCGUGCAGGCGAUACGGGCUGACUUGAGUGCUGUAGGGGAGACUGGAAUUCCUGGUGUAGCGGUGAAAUGCGCAGAUAUCAGGAGGAACACCGAUGGCGAAGGCAGGUCUCUGGGCAGUAACUGACGCUGAGGAGCGAAAGCAUGGGUAGCGAACAGGAUUAGAUACCCUGGUAGUCCAUGCCGUAAACGGUGGGCGCUAGGUGUAGGGGGCUUCCACGCCUUCUGUGCCGUAGCUAACGCAUUAAGCGCCCCGCCUGGGGAGUACGGCCGCAAGGCUA
rnacentral:rRNA from 1 species